rnacentral:lncRNA from 1 species
AUGGGAUUGACCACUCCAAGAGUUGGAGAUGAAUGAGUCACUGUAUUUCAAUUUAGCAAAAUCUUGGCCAGAGUAAUCCAUCAGAUGGAUUUGAUAUUUUAAAAUAUAAUGUGGACAAUCUGAUCAGAGUUGAUAGUUGAACUCUAAGGUGUCCUAUGAUCAUUUUGGUCAAGAGGAUGAAUUAUAUAGAAACUAUAUCUAUAUGGGUUCUAAAGAUGUUGUUCAACACAUUUGACCUAUCCGAUCGUCAGGUACCAUUGCUAG